rnacentral:rRNA from 1 species
UGGGGAAUUUUGGACAAUGGGGGAAACCCUGAUCCAGCCAUCCCGCGUGUGCGAUGAAGGCCUUCGGGUUGUAAAGCACUUUUGGCAGGAAAGAAACGUCGCGGGUUAAUACCCCGCGAAACUGACGGUACCUGCAGAAUAAGCACCGGCUAACUACGUGCCAGCAGCCGCGGUAAUACGUAGGGUGCAAGCGUUAAUCGGAAUUACUGGGCGUAAAGCGUGCGCAGGCGGUUCGGAAAGAAAGAUGUGAAAUCCCAGAGCUUAACUUUGGAACUGCAUUUUUAACUACCGGGCUAGAGUGUGUCAGAGGGAGGUGGAAUUCCGCGUGUAGCAGUGAAAUGCGUAGAUAUGCGGAGGAACACCGAUGGCGAAGGCAGCCUCCCGGGGAUAACACUGACGCUCAUGCACGAAAGCGUGGGGAGCAAACAGGAUUAGAUACCCUGGUAGUCCACGCCCUAAACGAUGUCAACUAGCUGUUGGGGCCUUCGGGCCUUGGUAGCGCAGCUAACGCGUGAAGUUGACCGCCUGGGGAGUACGGUCGCAAGAUUAAAACUCAAAUGAAUUGACGGGGUCAUAGCUGUUUCCU